AUUGAACGCUGGCGGCAGGCCUAACACAUGCAAGUCGAACGAGUGGCGGACGGGUGAGUAAUGUCUGGGAAACUGCCUGAUGGAGGGGGAUAACUACUGGAAACGGUAGCUAAUACCGCAUACCAUCGGAUGUGCCCAGAUGGGAUUAGCUAGUAGGUGGGGUAAAGGCUCACCUGGGCGACGAUCCCUAGCUGGUCUGAGAGGAUGACCAGCAACACUGGAACUGAGACACGGUCCAGACUCAUACGUGAGGCAGCAGUGGGGAAGAUUGAACAAUGGGCGCAAGCCUGAUGCAGCCAGGCCGCGUGUAUGAAGAAGGCCUUCGGGUUGUAAAGUACUUUAAGCGGGGAGGCGUUACCAGCAGAAGAAGCACCGGCUAACUCCGUGCCAGCAGCCGCGGUAACAC
rnacentral:rRNA from 1 species